rnacentral:rRNA from 2 species
CGGGACGCUUUAAGAAUGUCGAGUCUGACGGAGCACGCCGCGUGAGUGAUGAAGGCUUUCGGGUCGUAAAACUCUGUUGUUAGGGAAGAACAAGUGCUAGUUGAAUAAGCUGGCACCUUGACGGUACCUAACCAGAAAGCCACGGCUAACUACGUGCCAGCAGCCGCGGUAAUACGUAGGUGGCAAGCGUUAUCCGGAAUUAUUGGGCGUAAAGCGCGCGCAGGUGGUUUCUUAAGUCUGAUGUGAAAGCCCACGGCUCAACCGUGGAGGGUCAUUGGAAACUGGGAGACUUGAGUGCAGAAGAGGAAAGUGGAAUUCCAUGUGUAGCGGUGAAAUGCGUAGAGAUAUGGAGGAACACCAGUGGCGAAGGCGACUUUCUGGUCUGUAACUGACACUGAGGCGCGAAAGCGUGGGGAGCAAACAGGAUUAGAUACCCCGGUAGUCA